GACGAACGCUGGCGGCGUGCCUAAUACAUGCAAGUUGAGCGCUGAAGGUUGGUACUUGUACCGACUGGAUGAGCAGCGAACGGGUGUGUAACGCGUGGGGAAUCUGCCUUUGAGCGGGGGACAACAUUUGGAAACGAAUGCUAAUACCGCAUAAAAACUUUAAACACAAGUUUUAAGUUUGAAAGAUGCAAUUGCAUCACUCAAAGAUGAUCCCGCGUUGUAUUAGCUAGUUGGUGAGGUAAAGGCUCACCAAGGCGAUGAUACAUAGCCGACCUGAGAGGGUGAUCGGCCACAUUGGGACUGAGACACGGCCCAAACUCCUACGGGAGGCAGCAGUAGGGAAUCUUCGGCAAUGAACGAAAGUCUGACCGAGCAACGCCGCGUGAGUGAAGAAGGUUUUCGGAUCGUAAAACUCUGUUGGUAGAGAAGAACGUUGGUGAGAGUGGAAAGCCCAUCAAGUGACGGUAACUACCCAGAAAGGGACGGCUAACUACGUGCCAGCCGCCGCCGUAA
rnacentral:rRNA from 1 species